rnacentral:rRNA from 1 species
CAGCAGCCGCGGUAAAACGGAGGGUGCAAGCGUUAUCCGGAUUCACUGGGUUUAAAGGGUGCGUAGGCGGAUCUGUAAGUCAGUGGUGAGAUCUCCAGGCUUAACCUGGAAACUGCCGUUGAUACUAUAGGUCUUGAAUUUUGUGGAGGUUAGCGGAAUAUGUCAUGUAGCGGUGAAAUGCAUAGAUAUGACAUAGAACACCAAUUGCGAAGGCAGCUGGCUACACAACUAUUGACGCUGAGGCACGAAAGCGUGGGGAUCAAACAGGAUUAGAUACCCGCGUAGUCCCUGUCUCUUAUAC